GAGAGGUCAUUCGUCGACAGACAAGCGUGUUAUCAGUGAGAGGCACUUUCUGGUCUUUUUUUUCUGCUUAUAUGAAAUUUACAGAUGCGGAUAUGCAGAAAGGAACAUGGGAAAUGGUCAGAGCCAGCACCACCCAGAUAAAGCAUCUCUGCCUGGAAUUGUUCCAACAGAAGAUGGUGCUGUGGUGGUGCACACCACUAGUCCCCCUACUCAAAAUGAAGAUGGAGGCCAGUUGGAUGAUCUGCCCCAGCGCAAAAUGGGGGAAAAGGAAGUGGAUGACAUGUGCUUCAUGAUUGUCUGUACGAACUGGUAUUAAAAUCAUGAAGACACUUGCAUUCUGGGUACUUAAUGUUACUGAUUUAUUAUUAUUCUUGUAUCUGGCUGUCGGAAGAUCACAUUAGACAGCAGGAUGGCCACAUUUAAUGUAUCUGCUCCAAGAGUUAUAUAUUGAUGUCUGUAAUUUUACUGUUAAAGUGGAGAGGGCUAGAAGAGAGAUUUUAGAGUAGAAGCGAACAGGAGCUAUCAAAUGUUGUGUUACUUAUGCAUUAGUUCUGACUUUUGAACUCAUUGUGUAUAUUUAUGGCAACCCACUGAGAUCUAUGAGUUGGAGGAAACCUGAAGAUCUUAAUUUGGUGUAAUAAUUGGGAGAUGUAGGUGGACUGGCCUGUGUGCCUCUGUGACAAUUUGCCUUUGUGUAGACACUUGAGCCUGGUGGGUAUGAGGCAUUUCGAGGUGGCAGGAGUUGGGCGGGCAGAGUUUAAUAUAUGACCACAUAAGCAGUAUUGUUCAUUCCUUGCAGCACUAUAAAAUAAAUGAAUUGCUUCUCAGUGCAUUUUGAUGUGUUCUGACUGAUGAUUCUAAUUUCUAGUGACUAAGAUGUCCAGGAUUGCAGGAGUGUACUGCUGAUCAGCAGUUUCUCUCAGUCAGGGUCGGUGCCUGUCUAAACAAAUCAAUUUUGAUUUUCAGUGCAUGAAAAAAUUAAAAUUAAAAAUAGUACACUUGAAUGUAAAAUGAAAGUAUUACAGAACUAUGUUGUAAACAGUUGUUCCCUAAACUGUGAACAGCAAAGGAAUAUGCUUUUGCUUAUAGAAAAAUAAGUUGGGAACGGAAAAGAAAUUAAUAAGCAGGGUCACCAGAGUAUUAAUAAUUUCUUAUCAUCACAAACCCCAGUUAUAUAGAACAUCUGCAUUUCAUGGCAUUUUUAACUGUGUUGCUUUAAUUUUUGUGUCUCUUUGGCUCUCACAAGAAAACAUUGCCAUAGUGUUAUGCAGCAGUGGAUUUAGUUUGGCUUUCUUGAUACUGAUCAAUAGAAAAAGAUUCUUUUAAUGCCAAAGUGAAAACAUGUGUCUGCAUCUAAAUUAAUUACAAAUAUAAAACAUAAAAAUAGCUGAUUGCAUAAGUAUUUAAUAUGACACACCUAAAUCAUCACUGGAGCAGUCAAUUGGUUUUAAUAAUCUCAGAAUUAGUCUGGGUGGCACUAGAUUGCAGUCUAAAUGCUCUUUAUCUGGAAGGUCCAGUCAGUGUGUUGGUCUAAUAUACACAAUGAAGACAAAAGACUCAAAGCAACUCCAUGAAAAGGUAAUUGAAAAGCAUAAGUCAAGGGACAGAGAAGACAAGAAACUAUCCACAUCAGUGAUUAUCCCUUGUAGUCCAGUUAAAUCAAUCAUUAAGAAAUGGAAAGAAUAUGACACAGCUGAGAAUCUGCUUAGAGCAGACUGUCUACAAAAACUAAGUCAUUUUAAAGAAGAAGAAGACUAGUGUGGGAAGCUACCAUGAGACUUAUGAGAGUUCUGAAUGAGUAACAUGAUACAGUGGCUUAGAUUGGAGAGUGCGAAUGACAAUUGUUGAUGGUUGCUUCACCAAUCUCAGAUUUAUGGGAGAAAGGAAAAGAAAAAACACUGUUAAAAAAAAAAAAGGCAAAUGGCAGACUCUGAAGUCAGUUGGAAGAAGGUUUUGGCCAUGAGACUAAACUUCAUGUUUUAUUACUGCGCAUUAUCAUAAACACCUCAUCCUCACCGUGAAGCAUGGUGGUUAUAGCAUCAUUCUGUGGAGGUGCUUCUCUGCUGCAGGGCAUGAAAGGCUUGUGAGGAUAGAGGGUCAAAUGAAUGUGGUAAAAAUAAGUGGACAUUUUGGAGGAGAACCUGAUGCAGUUUGCAAGAAACCUGUGUAUUUUCUAGCCAGACAAUGACCAUAAGCAGUAACAAUUUGAAUGUCCUGGAGUGGCUGAGUCAGAGUCAAGAUCUCAAUCCAACUGAGAAUCUGCGGCCAGAUGUAAAUAAAGUUGUUCACUUACAAACUCCAUGCAACCUGACAUGGUAAUUCAAUGCUGUAUAACAAUAAAAUAUGAAACCUUUGAA